UAGGGAAUCUUCCGCAAUGGGCGAAAGCCUGACGGAGCAACGCCGCGUGAGUGAUGAAGGUCUUCGGAUCGUAAAACUCUGUUAUUAGGGAAGAACAAAUGUGUAAGUAACUAUGCACGUCUUGACGGUACCUAAUCAGAAAGCCACGGCUAACUACGUGCCAGCAGCCGCGGUAAUACGUAGGUGGCAAGCGUUAUCCGGAAUUAUUGGGCGUAAAGCGCGCGUAGGCGGUUUUUUAAGUCUGAUGUGAAAGCCCACGGCUCAACCGUGGAGGGUCAUUGGAAACUGGAAAACUUGAGUGCAGAAGAGGAAAGUGGAAUUCCAUGUGUAGCGGUGAAAUGCGUAGAUAUAUGGAGGAACACCGGUGGCGAAAGCGGCUCUCUGGUCUGUAACUGACGCUGAGGCUCGAAAGCGUGGGGAGCGAACAGG
rnacentral:rRNA from 1 species